CGUUCUGCCUCUUCUGAGAGCGAGACGAGGCUUUCGGUUCCCGCUACCUGUCCAUCUGCGCUGGGGGCGCAACGAGGGCGCGGCGUCGCGGUCGUGCGAGUGACUGAUUUCACAUGGAUCUGCGGUUUUUCGUACCUGCCUUCCAGAUGGAGAAAGUGGGCUACUUGGUAACUUCGCACUGAGGAUUUACGCAGAAGUACAGGAGGUAAUGCCCCCUCUUCAAACAAUCAAUCUGGAAGGCAUCCUGGAAUAAAGUCAGUUUAAAAGAGUAAUCACCUACAAGUCUGACUGAUAAAUGCCGCUUCAUCUGCCAGCAAAUAGAGUCAGUGUUUUCUCUGCAAGGUUUCAGGUCAUGGAAGCAUAGAAACAGGAUUAAGGAAUACGUCGAACCUACAGAAGACCCAGCAUCCUAAACCCUCUUCUGGUCUCCAGAAGUCUCCACCUACCACUUCCUCUUCUGUGUCACCAGAUCCCACCUCCUCGUGACAUCACUUCAGGUUCCAAGACUAUGCCCAUCUCUGUCAUCAUUUCCUGUUUGUUAUAUAUUUAUAGCAGCCAUUUUGUAAUAACCGUCAAGUUCAGUUUGGAACUCAUGACUGUAAAGACCUCUCUACAAACCAACUAUUUUCAAAGUAUAUGGGGUGGAUCCCCAAACCUUUCACUUUGUCUCUGGCCUUACUUUACAGUG